UACGGGGGGGGGCAGCGUUGUUCGGAAUUAUUGGGCGUAAAGGGCUCGUAGGCGGUCCAUCGCGUCGGGGAGUGAAAAGCUGGGGCUUAACCCCAGUCCUGCUUCCGAUACGGGUGGACUAGAGGUAGGUAGGGGAGAACGGAAUUCCUGGUGUAGCGGUGAAAUGCGCAGAUAUCAGGAGGAACACCGGUGGCGAAGGCGGGUUCUCUGGGCCUUACCUGACGCUGGAGGAGCGAAAGCAUGGGGAGCAAACAGG
rnacentral:rRNA from 1 species